rnacentral:rRNA from 1 species
GACGGAGGAUGCAAGCGUUAUCCGGAAUGAUUGGGCGUAAAGCGUCCGCAGGUGGCAGUUCAAGUCUGCUGUCAAAGACCGGGGCUUAACUUCGGAAAGGCAGUGGAAACUGAACAGCUAGAGUAUGGUAGGGGCAGAGGGAAUUCCUGGUGUAGCGGUGAAAUGCGUAGAGAUCAGGAAGAACAUCGGUGGCGAAGGCGCUCUGCUGGACCAUAACUGACGAUCAGGCACGAAAGCGUGGGGAGCAAACAGG